UACAGAGGGGGCAAGCGUUGUUCGGAUUCACUGGGCGUAAAGGGUGCGUAGGUGGUGAGGUAAGUCGGAUGUGAAAGCUCGGAGCUCAACUCCGAAAUGGCAUUGGAAACUACCUUGCUCGAGGGUUGGAGGGGGGACUGGAAUACUUGGUGUAGCAGUGAAAUGCGUAGAUAUCAAGUGGAACACCAGUGGCGAAGGCGAGUCCCUGGACAACUCCUGACACUGAGGCACGAAAGCUAGGGGAGCAAACAGG
rnacentral:rRNA from 1 species